rnacentral:piRNA from 1 species
UGUACAUGGCUCCUUUACCUACACACUG